rnacentral:rRNA from 1 species
CUACCCCUUAAAAUUUUCUUAAUUCAACAUCGAGGUCGCAAAAUACAAUAUAGAUAUGAACUCCCCAUUGAAAUUACGCUGUUAUCCCUAAGGUAACUUAUUCUUAUUUUCCACUAUUAAGGAUCUAAAAUUACAUAAAUAAAUGAAUGAUAAAACUAAAGUUAAUAAUUUAGCCGCCACCCCAGCAAAAUAUAAACAAUCAUUAAAAAAUAUAUAAAUUAAACUCUAUAAUGAUUUUAUUAUAUAAAGUUCUAUAGGGUCUUAUCGUCCCAAUAAAUCAUUAAAGCAUUUUGACUUUAAAUUCAAAUUUUAACCUUUUAAAGAAAUAAAAUAUAAUUCUCAUACAUCCAUUCAUACAAGCUUUCAAUUAAAAAACUAAUUACUAUGCUACCUUUGCACAGUCAAAAUACUGCAGCCAUUUAGAAAU